UUUUUUGAGAGUUUGAUCCUGGCUCAGGAUGAACGCUGGCGGCGUGCCUAACACAUGCAAGUCGAACGAUCCUCCGAAGCUCGCAAGAGCAAAGGAGGAGAGUGGCGAACGGGUGAGUAACACGUAAGUAACCUACCCCAAAGACCGGGAUAAUCCCGCGAAAGCGGGACUAAUACCGGAUGUGUCCUGUGAAUUUCCUAAUUUGCAGAAUAAACCACCAGCACUUUCUAACUCUAUCAAUUAGGUUUAGAAAGUGCUGGUGGCUUUGGGAUGGGCUUGCGGCCUAUCAGCUAGUUGGCGGGGUAAAGGCCCACCAAGGCAAUGACGGGUAGCUGGUCUGAGAGGACGACCAGUCACAAGGGAACUGAGACACGGU
rnacentral:rRNA from 1 species